rnacentral:rRNA from 1 species
UACGGAAGGGGCAAGCGUUGUUCGGAAUUACUGGGCGUAAAGAGCGCGUAGGCGGCUUACCAAGUUGGGGGUGAAAUCCCGGAGCUCAACUCCGGAACUGCCUUCAAAACUGGUAGGCUCGAGUCCGGAAGAGGGGCGUGGAAUUCCCAGUGUAGAGGUGAAAUUCGUAGAUAUUGGGAAGAACACCGGUGGCGAAGGAGGAGCCCUGGUCCGGUACUGACCCUGAGGCGCGAAAGCGUGGGGAGCAAACAGG